GCUAUGAGUUCCUUCGAAUCACUACCAAGGACCUGUUUGGGACAUUUACAGCAGCCUUGGAUGAAUACUGUCCUCGACUGAUAAAGCUGUAUAGAGCCAGGAAAGGAGCCUUCGGACAAGGGAUGGAAAACCUAUUGGAUUCUCUUGAUGAACAGACAUCUGACAUUGCACAGCAACGAAUGAGAAUGUGUCUGGAAGGUCUGCCCUUAUUUGUCCGUGACAGUGCAGAGAAGCUCUUCCUGAAAUGCCUGGACACUGAUCCGGAAGAAAAGCAGACUGCUGGUGUCAAGAUGAGAGUCCUCACUGUUCACGUAGAUGAUGGUGGACCUACCCCGUCUCAAAUGGUCAACAGUAUUGCUGUUGUCUUGGAAGAGACAAUUGUACUCUCGGAUGUACCAGACAUCCCAACUGCAUUUGUCUACCUUUUUGGUACUCUAUGCCCUGAACAUUGAGUUUCCAAAAGAACACAAGUACACUUUUGAGACUGUUCAGCACAUCUUCAUGGGACUUUCCACCAGUUGCUCCCAGCGGGUCAGGAGUUUGAAAACAAAGCUCAUAAUCUAAGUGAGCAUUGGCAAAUUCAAAAACGGAUUCACAAGAUGUCCCCAUUUCAUUUUCCUGCCUUCACUGCUGUUUGUGACUUGAACAUUCAGUUCCCAAAACCAAACUAACCCCACUAACUAACCCAAAUAACCCAAGUUCUUUAUCUUUACAGAUAAAAUGUUAACUAGUGACAUGAACAUCUUGCUACAUUUUCAAAGACAUGUUCUCACUCUUAAGGCACAAGCACCUUUUUUCUCUAACAUUAUUUCACUUUUUUCUCAAGCUGGCUUGCAUACUCGUUGUUGUAAUAUUGCAAGGACUAGUUAGUAGUUACUGCCACAAUUGUUGUCUUGCAGCUGUUUUUUUUGUAUAAAGAGCCAUAUGAGUAGUGGAAGAGUUGGAAAUGGUGUGGUCCCUCAGAGUUGUGUUGGGAGAAAUCACUGGCUGUUUACAUGCCGUUUUACAGAUUGUUCAUUUUCGUUAUUAAACACUAACUUUGCCAUUUGUUAUUCCAUAGCUGCUAUUGUUUUGACAGCAGGCUUAUUCAAAGGGUGGUUUGCACAUUUGUAUGGAACCCUGGCCUUAUGGAAGACUUUUAGUGAUGGUGUAUUUUCAAUGUUGUUACACAUAUUCAGUAUCAUUGGAAAACUUUCACUUAAUGGAAUUGUUAGUAUGUAGUACUCAAAAUAAGAAGUUUCUAUACAUAUGAAAGGUACAUUUUCUAGACCAAAAAUAAUAACUUGGCACAACUUUCACUUAAUGGAAUUCUUUGUAUGUGGAACUCAAAGUUAGAAGUUUUUAAACGUAUGAAAGAUACAUUUUCCAAACCAAAGAUAAUAAGUUAGCACAACCUUUACUUAUUUAAAAUGUUAAGUAUGCAGAACUCAAAACUUGAAGUUGUAAAAAAUUUGAAUGAGUUGUCUCGACAAAAUAUAAUUAGUUGACUCAAUUGAAAAGAGAAACUUAGAAAUGUUAGUUGGCCUCAAAACUCAAAAAUCUUGUGCAGCCUGUUGCCUUGAAAUUUUGAGUUGUACUAACUUUUUUUUUUUUACAGUGUAGUUGAUGGUGAAUUUGUGUACCUUAAUAUAAAGUUGUACCGCUUAUAUGAUGAACAUUGAUGUC